AGUGAACGCUGGCGGUAGGCCUAACACAUGCAAGUCGAACGGCAGCACAGUAAGAGCUUGCUCUUACGGGUGGCGAGUGGCGGACGGGUGAGGAAUACAUCGGAAUCUACUUUUUCGUGGGGGAUAACGUAGGGAAACUUACGCUAAUACCGCAUACGACCUACGGGUGAAAGCAGGGGAUCUUCGGACCUUGCGCGAUUGAAUGAGCCGAUGUCGGAUUAGCUAGUUGGCGGGGUAAAGGUCCACCAAGGCGACGAUCCGUAGCUGGUCUGAGAGGAUGAUCAGCCACACUGGAACUGAGACACGGUCCAGACUCCUACGGGAGGCAGCAGUGGGGAAUAUUGGACAAUGGGCGCAAGCCUGAUCCAGCCAUACCGCGUGGGUGAAGAAGGCCUUCGGGUUGUAAAGCCCUUUUGUUGGGAAAGAAAAGCAGCAGGUUAAUACCCCGCUGUUCUGACGGUACCCUAAGAAUAAGCACCGGCUAACUUCGUG
rnacentral:rRNA from 1 species